AUGGAUGCCAAAGGCUCCUCUUCGGCUAUGCCGCCGCCGCUGCGGGUCGUGAUCUGCCCCUGGCUCGCGUUCGGCCACUUGCUGCCCUACCUGGAGCUCGCCGAGCGGCUGGCCUCGAGGGGCCACCGCGUGUACUACGUCUCCACGCCGCGCAACAUCGCGCGUCUCCCGCCGCUGUGCCCCGCGGCCGCUCCUCGCGUCGAGCUCGUCGCGCUCCCGUACCCGUGCGUCGACGGCCUCCCCGACGGCGCCGAGUCCACCAACGACGUGCCCGCUGACAAGCGGGAGCUGCACUGGAAGGCCUUCGACGGCCUCGCCGCGCCCUUUGCGGAGUUCAUGGCCGCCGCGUGCGCCCGCGAGGACAGCAAGCCUCACUGGGUCAUCGCCGACGGCUUCCACCACUGGGCCGCCGCCGCCGCCGUCGAGCACAAGGUGCCGUUCGCACAGCUUCUCCCUACUGCUGCGAUGAUGGUCGCUGCUACCUCGUCGUCUACGCCCCGUUACGAGCGCGAGGGAGCACGGUUCUUCACCGACAUUGACGCGUCUGGUAUGUCCUGUGCCCAGCGCUGCUCCUUGGCAGGGGAGAGGAGCACGCUGAUGGCCAUCCGGAGCUGUCCGGAAUGGGAGCCCGAGUGCUUCCAGCAGGUGGCGGCGAUCUGCGGCAAGCCAGUUGUCCCCCUUGGCCUUCUGCCGCCGUCGCCCGACGGAGGCCGACGCGCGGCAUCAAGCGCGAACGAGAUGGAGAAGGAGGCCACCAUUGGAUGGCUGGACGCACAGCCGCCCAAGUCAGUGCUGUACGUGGCGCUGGGGAGCGAGGUGCCGCUGCGCACGGAGCAGGCACACGAGCUGGCUCUCGGGCUGGAGCUCGCCGGGGCACGCUUCCUCUGGGCUCUGAGGAAGCCGCUAGGUGCUGCCGGCGGCGCCCUCGAGGCCCUUCCUCCUGGCUUCCAAGAGCGCACCAGUGGCCAUGGGCUGGUCACCACGGGGUGGGUUCCUCAGAUGAGCGUGCUGGCGCACGGUGCCGUGGGGGCGUUCCUGACACACUGCGGCCGGAACUCGCUCAUCGAAGGGCUUCUGUUCGGGCACCCGCUCGUGAUGCUGCCCAUCCAGGGGGACCAAUGGCCGAACGCGCGCCUCAUCAUGGAGGGGAGGAAAGUCGGGCUGCAGGUGGCACGGGACGAGAAGGACGGGUCAUUCCAUCGCCAUGGCGUCGCCGCCGCAGUCCGGGCCGUCAUGCUGGAGGGAGAAGCCAGGAGGGGCUUCGUGGCAAAUGCUCUCAAGCUGCAGAAGAUUGUGGCCGAUGAGGAACUCCAUGAGAGGUACACCGAUGAGCUCGUAAAGCAGCUCAGAUCUUACACCUAG
rnacentral:rRNA from 1 species